AAGGGCUUGAGCCCAAAAUGGCUUCCCUAUCGACCCAAAAUGUAAACUUCCCAGGAACAAACAACCCAGCACAGUCCCUUCAGCUCUGCUUUUACCCGGUGAAAUGGAUACCCCUUACAAACAACAGGUAGAGGACGGAACCCAUAUCCACAUUCAAUGAAUACAAUAAAGCCUGGAACAAGAGAACAUUGUGCAGGACUGACUUCUUUGGAAUAAAGUUCUAGCACCCACUCUGGAAAUGAGAUGAUGUUACUACUUUAUCUUAGAUAGGAGUGACUAUCAGAAAAACCAAUCAUCAGUGUGUCAUAAUGACAAAUCACAUUUGCAGUUCCCCAUAAAACUUCAGCUUACUGUCCCUGAUCGAAGCCUAGUGGCAAAAUGCUGGUCAUGUUAUCGUACUUGUUCUGUUUUCUAUUCAAUUAGAUUUUAAUAUAUGGGGAAGGGGAGAUGUGACUGCUGAUACAUUACCUUUACAGAAGUUCACUGUAUUAUACCAUGGUAAAAGCAUAAGUAUAAUGUAAAAACAAAGUGAAUGCACCAUAGACAACAGUUAUAAAUUACAGAUAUUGUAGCUGUAGUAAGGCCAGGGAAACUGCAAAAUAACCCUGUAAAUUGCCACUGUACACUUUUACUUGUUGCAUUUUUCCCCCUUUCAUUAACUUUUUACAACGUAUGCCAACAUUCUGAAAUUCUGUUGUUUGCAUACUGAGAUUAGAGCAAUUGAGGGUCUUCAUAAUCAUGUAAUAGUAUUACUAGCUUGAAAAAAAAUCUAAUCUGUUGUAUCUAACAGUUUCUGGGAACACCAAUUUAAAUCACAAUGGAUAGCCAGAGAAGGGAACAUAAUCUGCUAGCUGUAAACUCAUGCACACUUAUUCAAGCUGAUUCUUGGCUUUCAUUGCCCAAUUUAAGAUUUGCUACUAAAAAUCCAAGUGAAUAUUUCUGCCAUUGAUUUUCUGACAAUGGGAAAUGAUCAGGGAUGCUGUAUGCCAAGCAUCCAUAGUCUUUCUGUGUAUGAUGUGCAACCUCUUCAUUUAAAUUUGGCCUUCAGUAUAGUGUGGCAAAUCAUACCUGAAAUC